UUCCAAUUUCAGGUUUGGGGCCUCGGGCGGGGUCAGGAUGACCUGCAGAGGGAAGCCGGCUUCCUCAGCCUCCAGGCAGGCCUCCCAGGGGCUUGGACUGCAGGAGCUGCGUUGGGGAGCACCGCAGCAGGCCGAGGCUGAGGGGGUGGCUGCGGCUGCAGAGACUGGAUGUGAAGGUGGAACAGAGGCCCGAGCGCAUGUACUUGUUCCGGCUGUUGCGCGCCAAACCGCCAGGGCCUGCCAUUCCUGCACCCUUGGGUGUGCCUGGCUUUCCUGAGGCAGUGCCCCCUGGGGCGGCAUGUGCAGCAGCAGGGGCCACAACUGCCAUGGUGAAGUAACCGACACCUCUGGGUGGGGCGGGCAGUCCUCACUCAGUGGAGCACCCUGCGACCUCAGGAUAGGACACAAACUUGUAGACCAACUUCUGGCCGCUCACCUUGCGGAUGAUGUUCUCGUCAUAGUCGUGAGAGUGCCUUUGUGAGCUGUGACACUCAUGGUAAAGGUCUGUAGCUUCAUUUCUGAAACCAGCGAGACCCCCAACCCACCAGGAAGAACAAACAACUCUAGACGCGGUGCCUUAAAAGCUCUAACACUCACCACGAAGGUCUGCAGCUUCAGUCUUGAACCACCGAGACCACAAACCCACCAGAAGAAAAAAAAAAACAAAAACUCGGAACAUGAGGGAACAAACGGCGGGACAUGCCGCCUAUUAAGAACUGUAGCACUCACUGCGAGGGUCCGCGGCUUCGUUGUUGAAGUCAGUGAGAUCAAGAACCGACCAAUUCCAGACACAGUAGUACGGCAAGGCCCGCCUGAGCUUGUCGUAAUUCACGUUGGUCUUGUUCUUGCGUCGCCCCCACGGCUAGGCCACCUUCCUCUGCAACCACCACCAUCCCAUGAAGUCCAGGAGCUGUGGCCGUUGCCUUGCUCUCAGCUGCAGCAGAAAGUGCCAGAGCGUCACAGGGUGGACUGACAAAGAUUCUCUGCUUGGCCAAACUACAGUCGGGCUCUGGAACCUUCUCCUAGGCCAGCCUGCACUUCCUUGAGGCGCCAGCAGCCAGCGUGCGGAGUUAAGUGCCUGUGCCCUUUGUAUGAAAGUGUCACCGUUGUCCUGGUCUUGAGGGGUGGCUUUCGGGUGUAAACGGCCGGCAGAGGUGAGUAGAUGCUGGGAGGCUGCUCCAGGCGUCUUGUUUGCUCCAGGGUUCUUGAGACUCUCCUGUCUAUGAGAACGUGCAGUGGCACGGGACGGCCGCCGGGGGGCUCCCGAGUCCGGCUCUGGAGUCUGUGGCCGCGCGAGUGCACCUGCCUGGGCCGGCCCUGACGGAUUUUUUUUUUUU